CCCAAUGUAAUUUAGUGGUUUAAAUGCUGGACCUGGAUUCCAGGAGACCAGGGUUCAAAUCUCUACUUAGCCU